UACGUAGGUGGCAAGCGUUGUCCGGAUUUACUGGGUGUAAAGGGCGUGUAGACGGGACUGCAAGUCAGAUGUGAAAUUUAUGGGCUCAACCCAUAACCUGCAUUUGAAACUGUGGUUCUUGAGUGAUGGAGAGGUAAGCGGAAUUCCUAGUGUAGCGGUGAAAUGCGUAGAUAUUAGGAGGAACACCGGUGGCGAAGGCGGCUUACUGGACAUUAACUGACGUUGAGGCGCGAAAGUGUGGGGAGCAA
rnacentral:rRNA from 1 species